AUACAGAGGGUGCGAGCGUUAAUCGGAAUUACUGGGCGUAAAGCGCGCGUAGGCGGCUACUUAAGUCAGAUGUGAAAUCCCCGGGCUCAACCUGGGAACUGCAUCUGAUACUGGGUAGCUAGAGUUUAGGAGAGGGAAGUAGAAUUUCAGGUGUAGCGGUGAAAUGCAUAGAGAUCUGAAGGAAUACCAGUGGCGAAGGCGGCUUCCUGGCCUAAAACUGACGCUGAGGUGCGAAAGCGUGGGUAGCAAACGGGAUUAGAUACCCGAGUAGUCC
rnacentral:rRNA from 1 species